rnacentral:lncRNA from 1 species
GUGAUGGAGUCAGUUCAGGACAAUGGGCCGGGUCUAUCAAUUUUACAUAGGCCCUAUCUGGGUCCAACCCAAAUACAAAUGAUAAAUUACCUAACUCCCCACUGAAAUCUAAGUAAAUAUUUCUUUUAUAUUUAUCGAAAAAAAUACUCUCUUUUUUUAACAAGUCGUGUCAGCUGGAGAAAAUAGUUUGGUAUUAUUCUAAAGUGAAUAAAAUAGCCCACGUUCCAACGGUGUCUCCAACCAAAACUUCAAACCUACCAUCCAACUAGCAAACAACCUGUAUCGCAAUGACCAAAAUACCCUUGACUUAAAAAAAUCUAAUCUAAUCAACGAAUGGCAUUCGAGUCAAUUCAGAAAAAAUACUGACCGCAACUUCUUUGAUCUUUCACCGGAUUCACGGCGCCAGUCUCUCUCCAGUCGACGGAUUCCGGCAGAACCUCGCCGGGCAUGACGGCGUAACGCGGGCUGGCGUUUUUCAACUUGGCAAAUCUUCGCUUGGGAUCGCUCCUGGUGCCCAGGUAGAUAGCUCGGUACUCUUCGUUGGUGAGGUCAGCGAAUCUGUUCAACCCUACCUUGUAGGUGCGAUUUUGAGCGUUGUGUUCAUCUAUGAACUUGAGGUUAUCUUUGAAUAUCUCAAACCUCUUCUCUUUUUCUCCCAGUCCGUUGUAGGCUUUUCCGUGCUUGGCCAUCCACCACUGAUACAUGCCCAUCACCUCCUCCUCGCUUCUCCAGCUGCUGGACAGGUCCGCUGCGGAUGAGGCGACAAAGAAGAGGAAGAGAAGGGUUGAUAUGGAUAGCGCCAUGGCUGGUAAACGAGAAGAUGUGGAGGAGAUCAUGUUUGGGUGUCAAAAUGGGCUGUGGA